AGUUUUGAGUAGUUUCCUGAGAAUGACUAGAAUUUGGAUGAAAGGGAACGAACCAGAUUCAAAAAGAUGUCUGAAAGCAAGUAGUUAACUAGCAUUUUCACCAGACUUAAGGGAGAAGGUCAGUACUAUGAAAGGGGUAAUUUAUCUUCUUCCACUGUUGUCUACUCCAUACAGACAAGAUUUUACCAUGACUGAUGUCAAAAGAUUCAGAGAUAUAAUUGCAUUGGAAUUGGAGUACUAGGAUAAUUAAGUUUUGCUCCUGGAUGUUUUGAGUGUCCUGUAACUUUUUUAAACACGUGUUUAGAACAGAUGACUUGGAAAUUUAGGAAACUAAAUUACCUUGGUGAAGCAGCUGAACUCGAUACAGAGGUGGGAGUGAUGUCAGGAGGCAGGUGUGCAAGCGCAUAGCCAACAAGUAUCGUAAGCCACAUUCAUCUAAGUUCAGUGCUUGUCGUGGCCACGGUGUCUGCCAAAGCUACGAGGAACAUCUGCUCCAGUCGAGUGAGGCCUGGCAGACUUGAGUGCAUCAGGUGGCUUGAAAGGACACUGGCGUGUUCUCGGCCAAACGUGAUCUUCAGAGCCCUGAGGUAUUUUAGACGUUUCUUCAGAAACAUAAGUGGCAUCUUGAUCCGCAGCAAGCAGCGCGUACAGCGGCAGUGGUGGAAUGGAGUCUAUCUCUGUAUAGUCUCGAGUACCAUCUUUUCCAGCUGUGAUGAUGAAUUGUCUGUUCCAAAACCCAUUCUGAUCCUCCUGUAGACUCACAUUCAAGUAUACAAACAUGCAUGGAAAAUUCUUUGGAAAUGAAACCAUUAUGCUGUACGGGUUGUU